GGUGGCUCAGUGGUAGAGUGCUUGCCUUGCAUGCAAGAGGACCUGGGUUCGAUUCCUCAGCACCA
rnacentral:tRNA from 1 species